UUUUUGUUCUAAAAGUGAACUUCUCCUUUAAUGUAUAGUUGUAUAUGUUUUUUUAGGUGCUUGUCAUAUCUGAAUAGUUCAUUUUUAGAGCAAAUAUUUAGACCUCUUACAGACCAUAUGGCUCAUCCAAACCAUGUCUAUCGAUCAUAUGAAGCCUACUUGUCAUAACCACAGUAAACCACAAAGGCAGAAUGCUGUUGAAAGGACAUGAUCGCAUUGAUGGACCAGCAAGCAGGUGCAGGAAAUGAAAUCCAGCCUUUCUGGAGCGCUGUUCAGUCCUGUGAGACUCCAACAUGGGCAGAGGCCAUACAUGUGAGUUUGAUCACCCAUGCUUUAUUUGCCCAUUCAAGAAAUCUGAAGUCAAAAGUUAGCUUUGUGUGAAAAACAAACUGAAGUCAACAUUCACUGCUUCACAGCCGUGGACACCAUUCACUUUCAUUGUAUGAAAAACAGCAGCUUAGACACCGCUUAUACAUUUUAUGUUCCUUGGAAAAAAAGUAAGUCAUACUGGUUUCAAAAGACAUGACUGUGAGUAAAUAAUGACAGAACUGCUUGACAGCCAUAGUCACCAUUCACUUUCACUGCAUGGAAAACAGCAGCUUCAACAUUCCUUGUGUUUCUUGGAAGACAGAAAGUCAAUGAUAGUAAGUAAAUAAUAACAUAGUUUUAAUUUUUGCUGAACUAAUUUUUUACCCAUGCUAAUGUGUUUGCCCUCAUUUUAGAAGCCGAAUCUAAAAAUAUGAUUUAUGCUAUGCACAUUAAAGAAAUCAAAUUAGAAAAAAACUCCAAUACUAUCGAGUACUUGACAAAACAAAAACAAUCCAAAAACACACACUCCGAGUUCAGCCAGAACUGAGCGACCUCAAACAGAACAAAGGAGGUGAGAGUGAAACCAGAUCCUUUAUCAACGUGUUCCCAUGCAGAGGAGAAGCUCUGACUCAGGAUCGGUUUGCAUUGCUGGCAUUAUCCCACUUCUCCGUUUAAAUAAAUCUGCUUUGCUGUGAAAGAAACAAAGAGAAGAGAGAAAAUGGGGUAUCUGUUUCACAAACCCACAAGCCAACAACACCUGCACCAACAGCCCUGAAUAACAAGUGCAAUUCUUCUAGACAAACGAGGUUCCUGGUGAGCUGGAGGGGGAAUUUGAAGUUGAUGCAGACUUGUUCACGCACGUUUUUGCUUCUUAAUUGUCAGUCUGCAUGUGAGGUAACCUGUUACAUCACAGGAAGGCAAAGGUGCGGUGAGUCGGUAGAAGGGCACAGCUUCUUGGAAUCUUGGCUCGUCUCUGGCUUCGCCAUUGUUGCUAUGGCAGGUGUGUUAGAGACAGCUUUGGAAAGAUGGCGCGUGUUAUUCUUGUGAAACACCUGCUGAGUUACAGGCUUUUUGAGGAGAGAGCGGUUCUCAGCGCCGCCAAUUUGUUGCACUUCAUUAGCGAAAUAAAGCAUCUUUCAGCUAUGAGUGAAACAGGAGGCCAAAGUCUAAAGUUCGCAGUCACCCCGGAGAACAGCAGAGAUUUACAAUUAGUGUUAUUCCGGUAAAAAGCGAUUACAGAGAACGGUUGGAUACACUUAAAUUAGAAUGUUUUUAAAGUUUUAAAUGUUACACGAGUUUAAAUGUAUGUAAUAUUGUAAACUAUGCUGUAUUCACCUAAAUAAAUUAAAUUUGUCUUGUACUUUGACCAUGUGUUCUUGCUUAAUAAUAAAUGUUCACCAUUUGA